rnacentral:lncRNA from 1 species
UGCCUAUGUAAAUUUAAAAUUGUUUGUAUGCACAUUGAACGACAAAUCUAUGUGACGUAUAAAAUUUUCUGACGUCAGACACACAAAUCAAUGAAUGUGUUUGUAGAUAGAUGUUUUUGUGUUCUGUUAAAUUGUUCCUUUUAAAAUUGUUAUACGAUGAUGACUGAUGUACCCAUAUUUUGACUAUUUUAUUUAUUGUGUCUGUUUAGUUAACGCAUCAAUGUAAAUAUAACGGAAUUUGAUGAGACUGUCAUCAAAGUGAGAGGGUUAGCGCCAUAAAACCAGGUUUUAUCCACCAUUUUCUACAUUUGAAAAUGCCUGUACCAAUUCAGGAAUAUGACCGUUCUUGUCCAUUCGUUUUUGAUGCGUUUUGUUAUUUGAUUUUGCCAUGUGAUUAUGGACUUUCCGAAUUGAUUUUCCUUUAAUUUCAGUAUUUUUGUGAUUUUACUUUUAACUGUUCUUCAGAAACUUAUGUUCGUUUAUAAUUGUAUAUGAUAUGCAAGCGGGUGCAUCAUCUAUGUCCGAUUGACACAUUUCCCAUUUGUAUCACUUAUCGUGUACUGACCCUGUUUGAUCUCAAACGGGAGCAAUAAUCGACACUGUGUGAACGCCACUUAUGAAACUUAUCCCCAAUGCUUAUUACCAAAAAACUUAGAUUAAGUACAAAAUAAGAUAAUAUCCCUUUUUCAUGUUUAAUACAAGCGGAGGCAUCACCUGUGUCCCAUGGACUUUGAAGAGUUGUAAACGAGUCAUGUGUUUAGAUUGAGAUUAAACAAAUAUUCAAAUUCAAAUUGGAUGAAACCCUAAGCAAUAAGGCAAUAAUCAAUACACCUGUAGGUACAUGAGUGAGAUUCCCGCGUUAGGAACAACGCUGUUAGGAUCAAUUUGCGAUGACGUAUACAACAGUUAUGGUGUAAGCCCUAUAACCUGUCGGAGACAGUUGUCACAUAUUUAGAAGAUACUUAGGUGUAACGAAAUGACGGUUGAAGUUAUACAUUGAAACAUGUUUUGAUACUAUAAAGUUUGGUAUCCAAAUACAACCAAUCCCAUGCUUUUAUCAUCUUAUGACAGACAGACAUCUGGUUAACCGAAAUAAUUAAUGCGUUCUAAUUAAAUCAUGAUACAUGCAUUAGAUAAUCCUAAUACUAUGUCGUCUGGCAUUUUGAUAUAUAUUGCGCAUUUCUUGUGGUUUAGGAUGUUGUUUGUCGAUAUCGAGCUUGACAAUUUAUUACACACCUCUAAGCAAUAGUAAUUAAAUUUAUAUUGAUAUUAGGAUAAAUUAGUUUGAUAACCAAAUUUGAUUUUAUUAUACCAUUUAAAAUUGUGAAUUUAAUACACAUCUUACAUGUUGUCUUCUUUGAUCACUGGACAGCAUCAUAUGUAAUGUAAUGAAAUGAUGUCAAAAUAUUUUUCUCUCUGUUUAUAUGUUGAUUUGAAGCGUGAAAGUUUGUGAAAAGUAGAACACCGUCAACAUGUAUAGUUUAACAAAUAAUCCAUAUCACUAAUGACCAUACUGCAGUUAAUGUACCAGGCGAUCAUCUUCUUAAAACUAUAUAUUAAACAGAAUUUAAGCUGAGAUCCACAUAUAUAACCGAACCGUCAAUAAACUGACAUUAGGCCCUUAAUUAAUAUGCUUGUCAUAUUAUUUUGUUAACGUAGUCAAACAAACCAACAUGUUUUCCUGUGAUACUAAAUAUAUAUUUCCAAGCAAUAUUUAUGCAACCGGUUACUAGCUUUGUUUUUGCUUGAAUAGAUUAAAUUGAGAAAAGAAAGAUCUUUUUGUACUUUACUUGAAAUAUUUGACCAUAUUAUGCCAUUUUACUGAAAUCUUAUUUAUUAUUCAUGAAGUCACGGUAUCAAAAAUACUUAACGGACCACUUGACUGGUCCAUUAUACGAAACAUUGACCGGCUUAUGGUCAAUAGAUAGAAAGAAGACAUUUUGAACGAACUAUGAUAUUUCGUAUUUUUCAUAAAACGUGUUGUUUAUUGUUUUGUUAUUAUUGUCAUGUUAAAAGUCAUGAAAUUCUAAUAAAAUUUACUAUAUAACUUUUAAUUAUAUAUUCCCCAAUAUAGGCAUACUAUUGCAACACUUGUUGAUGUCGCCACUACAUGUAUCAUGUGAUUUCUACCUACACACUACAGACUGUGACGUAUUAUCUAACAGCACGUAUUGAUUGUAAAAUGACCUAUUUUUUGUCAUCAUGUUAUAUAUACGUGACGUGGUAUUCUGAAAUUGAUAAAAUCAACAUAUUAAAUAAAUGUUAUUCAUGUGUUGUUAUUGGUGUAUAAAAUACAUAAACUUUAUGAAAGAAUUUUAGUAAGCAUUUGAUAUAAGCUACUUAAAUGAAAUAAAUGUAAUGUGUGUAUCCACAGUCACAAAGGUAAGUUCUUUCAUAACAUUACUUUAAUUUAAAUGAUUUCAUUCUUAUGAUUUGACCGUCGCUGUCAUUAUAUUCAUGAUACAUCUUGGAAAAAUAACAAUUAUAUUGAAUGAAAUUAACGCAGAAUCCAUCAAAAUGUAACCCCUAGUUACCCCUUUAGACGUCACCAUAACAUCUGUUUCAUUCAUAAAUGUACUCCAUGAGCUUAUGUUCACCAAUCACGCUGAUUGAUGAAUCCUUUAAAGAAUGUAUGAAGGGGUACUGGAGGUUUUCAAUAACUAUCUUAAUUGUUAACAUAUCAAUUUAGAGUUAAUACUUUGAAACAUUAAUUCUACGUAAAAUUUGUCCUUAUAAGAUGUAAGUUAUAACGGAGACAGUUCGAAGAUCCAAAUAGAAUUUUGUCUAAUAUUUGUUCUAUAAAUUUCCCAGAAAAUAAUAAUUUAUCAACUUCAAUGUUGCUAUUACGUCAUAAAGUUAUGAUGUUAAGAAUGUAUUCAAUAACUGAAUGUCUCAACAGAUGAAUAGUUUAAGACUAAAAUAAAUUUAUUGGUAAAGAAGGCUUUCAUAAAUCAUAGGAAGAAUUGAAUGAAAUGAAAUAAAACCGUUUAAAUAUUAAAACUAGAAAAGUUUAAGUGAUGAAUGUGUCAUUCAACCCAAUUGCUUUUGCGGCUUCUGUUGGAUGGCACUAUUUUGUGUGUUCGCACAUUAACAAAUGUUUCAAUAAGGUUUUAGUAACUCUAAGUAAUUGUUUGCCACAGUAUUGCCAGUUUAUUGUCGAUUUCAACGCUCUCUUGUCUUUCUAAUGUUUUGUAUUGUAUCAAUACUCAAUACUCAGCAAAGAUACAACUUUAAUAUUUGGUAUACCAGACGCGCCCACGUCGACAUAAGACUCAUCAGUGACAUGGCAACCUUAACUGCAUAUAAACAUUCAUUCUUAAGAGGUCGAUGUCGUCCGCAUCUAGACUGCAUCUUCAAGUGUUCAACUAUUACAAUCUAUGUAUUUGAGCCAAAGUAGCAGUGUGUUCUAUUGUCUCACGUCCAGGAACUUACAUAUCCAACAUAAUCGUUUAUAAUUCAUUACCCAUGUUCAGGUCUAAUAUGUAGUUUGUAUUUAUAAAUGUAUCAAAUAUGAAUGCGAUGUAUAGUUCUAAUACUUGGUAAAUAUAUAAUUUAAUUGCAAGUACUGUACCACCCAUGCAUUAAUUGCUUAAGUGUUUAAGGUCAUGUGUUUAGUAAAAACCUUCCGAUUCAAAUAAGAAUAUGUAUAAUUUUCAAUAAGUACUCAGAAAUCUAGAAAAUAGUAAUGGCGGAUACAGCAAAUCUUGAAGUGUGGUUCUUGGAAUGAUACGUGGGUGAGGUUAAUAUCAAUGAUCGUAUCAUAAUUGCAAAGCGAAGUUAACUUUAACUUCAUUUCUCCAAAUUCAUAAACGCAUGCUUGUUUCUGUUGCAUUUUGGUGGGUUUUUUUUUUGUUCCGUUGAUUUCCCCUUGUAGUUGAUGUGUUUCCCUCAGUUUUAGUCUGUUAUCCGGACUUGUUUUCUCGCAAUCUAUUUAUGACGUUUGAACAGCGGUAUGCUACUGUUGUCUUUAUUUAUUGACCUCAAUGGUGUAAAGUUCUGGUGGGUGGUGUAAAUGUCUGAUCGAAAUUUAUUUUUUAGAUUGCUUAAUUAUACAGUAAUCUCUAAAGUGUAGUGAAAAGUACCACAACUAUGUUGUCGUCGUUGUAUGUCCAUGUUUAGUGGCGGAUUUACAACAUAUUUGCUCAGUUAUUCACGGAAACGUGUUCUCUUCCCUUUCUUUUAUACAUUUCAUUUGUUUUCCAGUUGUUAAUGGUUUUUGGUAACUGCUUGAAAAAAACGUAUUUUCAUUCGUAUAUUCUCAAUCAUGUUUGGAUAAUUGGAUGUUAACAAAUAUAAUGAUAGCAGAGUUAGGAUGAACUGUUCAAAAUUAAAAUGAAUAAUUCCUAUGACUUCCGUAUCACAUCUAUGGAUUAUCUUUUCAAAGCAAAAAACGUUUUCAGAAUCUUCCAAUUUACAUAUUGAUAUGUCGUUUAUAAUUAAUUUUGCGACACAACUAUAAUUGCACUCCACAAACUAACUCAUUGGCAUCAUUUUUUUAAAUACCAGGUUAGUACCACGAGGCAACAUAAGUUUAAUUUAGAAGAUAAAAAUGAAUGAAAAACUAAGAGAAUUGAACCCCAAAACAGAGCGAAUGCGUCGAUAAAUUCCCAUCGUAUGAUGUCAUGCAUACAUCAAAAUGAAUUGAGACGACGAUAAAAUGUAUCGGUCAACUAAUUCGUGUCAAUGAACGUAACAUUAUAUAUAGGUUUCAUGCAUACGUCUUCCUAAUCUCGUUGAUGGUAGCAUUAUGAGCGCAUUCCUAUUACUGAAUUUGUAUAAUGUUGAAUUGAAUGUGAACGUUAUCAAUUGAGAUAUUUGAACGCCAUACGAUAAGGUAGAAGGAGUGUUACUAGUAAGGGAUGGAAAGUUGACAAUGGGAAAACUUAAAUCUUCCAUAUUUGUCCCAAAUCGAGAUUUGAAUCCCCUAUCCGUUUGGAUUAAUGGAAAAGUUCGAAUUCUGAAGCAAACGUUUAAUUUUGAUAGUAUAUUUAACUGUAAUCUUGAUAGGAGAUGGAAGCAGUCGCUGAAAUGUAUGUUUAGUUGGUUGCUUCGAAUGGGUAAGAAUGUUUCUUCAAUGUAUACACUUAAAGUAUAGUACAAUCCUGUUAUAAUUUUGAUUGCCAUUUAUUUAAGGCCCCUUUCUUGUGAUAUUAAUCGCAUUAUUGAAGAACAAUAUAAGAUUUCGGUCAUCAAUAAUUGUGAAAAGGGUUUGCACAUGUCUGGAAAUAAAAGAUAAACACGAAAUACGGGUAAUUAUUGCAGCUAUACAUAGAUGCAAGCUUAAUUGAUCAGUAUUAGAAAAUAUGUUUACCGUGAUUCUAAUGGUCUUGGAAGAUUUGUUGACGAAAUUCACGUUGCUGUAAAAUGUGGGAUUAUAUUCAGUGUUGACUGCUAUUUAUAUGCGAUGUUGUCUUAGUGAUUAAUGGUGUCGUAGUCCUUGUAAUUCGAGGUUGUCUUGUUUUGAACAUUGAUGAACUACUUUUGCAUUAUUUUAUCUUAUAUGUUUGUGAUACUAUUCAAAACCGAAAACCUUAAGGAUAACAUAUAACGUCACUUUCGCCGAUCGCUGGCCAAUUUUAAAACAUAUUUCAAAUAUCGCUAAAGACCAAAUCGAUUUGACUUUUUAAAACAUAAACUUAUGUAUACACGUUAUUGUUCUUAGUUAUGCUUUCUAUGAGACUACUUAUUAUAAUCUUUGAAAUCUAUACCUACUAUUACAUAUGUCUGAAGACAGCAAAUGGUAUAGAUGUUGAUGUCAAAUGUCUGAUCUUGUUAAAACAAAUGUAAGUAUGUUUUUGGAAGUAGUAAAUAAAACCAUAUAAGAAUGUUUUGUGCUAAGAGAAAUAACUCUAUCUGUCCAAAAAGAGGUUCAUAUCAAUUGAGAGUUCUGUUUAAUUAUCAUAUGAAUGAUGUUUAUCAACGCCUUCUCCUUUUACCAAAAGAUAACAUUAGAUCAUUUACCCAUUUUGUACAGAUGACUCUCGUAGGUCAUUCAUAAGUAACAUAAACUAAAGGGCAAAUCUUAAAAUGAAUCAACAUAGACUUAAGUCGUCAAAUCUAUAGAUGCCUUAUUAAACCUUUGUGUGGUUAGAUUUGGCACUGCUUCUAAAAGUAGUUUACACCUUCUACAGUUUUACCUCCCACAAGGAACAUUUUCACGACAAAAAAAUUGUGUAUUGGGCAAACAUAAACCAAUCCUAUACGAAUGAUCAGGGAAGUCUUCCUGGACAGUUACUUUUGGUUUGAUCCAAAUAUUUCUGGGCGUCACUUUGUUCCUUUUUGGUUUAUUUUAUAUAAUGUAUUAUUUAUUUAUAACUAAAUGCAAUAAUGUUGUUAUUUUGGGAUGGAUUUUUGUUAACAGUGUAACGACGUAAAAUACAUUGAUCGGCCAUAGUAUCAAACUAGACGCCAUUUCCUUUACUGAAAUAGCGACAGUGUCAAAAUAUUCGAGUAUCGUGUGAAGUUAAUAUUCCUUUGGUAAUUUUAUGUAAAUGCACACAUUGUAUAUUUGGCCAUUUGGUUUGGUGUAUAAAACAGUAAUUGUUCUUCUAAAAAUAGUGUAACAUUAUCUUGACUAUAAUGCAUCAAUGGCUUAAUAAGCGUUACUGAUAUGUUCAACACAAUGUGGUCUCCCUUUUCACCCCUUAUAUACUUUAUAUCGUGUAACUGCUCGUCUUUUCAAUAUUUUCGUCUUCGAUACAAAAUAGAAUGUUUCAGAUUCUUUUUAUAUCGUUAUUAACCUUUUCGUUUCUGUUAAUGCUGUUUAUGUAUGAACACUUUGAUAACUUUGUUAGGUUUUUUUUGCCAUUUUUUGCAUUUCUACUUUGGAUUUUCUUUUUUUAUACCUUAGUCUUUCUUUAAACAUUUAACCUCAAAGUCGGUUUGGAUACUGAUAAAACAGUCAAUGUGCGGAAAAUCAUUUUAAUGUAUCGUUUCAUGUUCUAUUCCAAAAUGAAGGCAUAUAUCUUUACAUAAAUAAUACCACUGCCGAAAUUCCUGCUCUAUGAGAACUGUAUUCUUUCUGUAUUAAUCUCUUCGCUUGUCCCUUUUUAGCUCACCUGGCCCGAAAGGCCAAGUGAGCUUUUCCCAUCACUUGGCGUCCGGCGUCCGUCGUCCGUCGUCGUCCGUCGUCCGGCGUUAACUUUUACAAAAAUCUUCUCCUCUGAAACUACUGGGCCAAAUUUAAACCAAACUUGGCCACAAUCAUCAUUGGGGUAUCUAGUUUAAAAAAAUGUGUCCGGUGACCCGGCCAACCAACCAAGAUGGCCGCCAUGGCUAAAAAUAGAACAUAGGGGUAAAAUGCAGUUUUUGGCUUAUAACUCAAAAACCAAAGCAUUUAGAGCAAAUCUGACAUGGGUAAAAUUGUUUAUCAGGUCAAGAUCUAUCUGCCCUGAAAUUUUCAGAUGAAUCGGACAACCCGUUGUUGGGUUGCUGCCCCUAAAAUGGUAAUUUUAAGGAAAUUUUACUGUUUUUGGUUAUUAUCUUGAAUAUUAUUAUAGAUAGAGAUAAACUGUAAACAGCAAUAAUGUUCAACAAAGUAAGAUUUACAAAUAAGUCAACAUGACCGAAAUGGUCAAUUGACCCCUAUAGGAGUUAUUGCCCUUUAUAGUCAAUUUUUAAGCAUUUUUCGUAAAUCUUAGUAAUCUUUUACAAAAAUCUUCUCCUCUGAAACUACUGGGCCAAAUUAAUCCAAACUUGGCCACAAUCAUCUUUGGGGUAUGUAGUUUAAAAAAUGUGUCCGGUGACCUGGCCAUCAAAUCAAGAUGGCCGCCACGGCUAAAAAUAGAACAUAGGGGUAAAAUGCAGUUUUUGGCUUAUAACUCAAAAACCAAAGCAUUUUGAGCAAAUCUGGCAGGGUGUAAAAUUGUUUAUCAGGUCAAGAUGUAUCUGCCCUGAAAUUUUUAGAUGAAUCAGACAACCCGUUUUUGGGUUGCUGCCCCAGAAUUGGUAAUUUUAGUGAAUUUUUGCUGUUUUUGGUUAUUAUCUUGAAUAUUAUUAUAGAUAGAGAUAAACUGUAAACAGCAAUAAUGGUCAGCAAAGUAAGAUCUACAAAUAAGUCAACAUGACCAAAAUGGUCAAUUGACCCCUUGAGGAGUUAUUGCCCUUUAUAGUCAUUUUUUACAAAUUUUUCGUAAAUUUUUGUAAUCUUUUACAAAAAUCUUCUCCUCUGAAACUGCUGGGCCAAAUUAAUCCAAACUUGGCCACAAUCAUCAUUGGGGUAUCUAGUUUAAAAAAUGUGUCCGGUGACCCGGCCAUCCAACCAAGAUGGCUGCCAUGGCUAAAAAUAGAACAUAGGGGUAAAAUGCAGUUUUUGGCUUAUAACUCAAAAACCAAAGCAUUUAGAGCAAAUCUGACAUGGGUAAAAUUGUUUAUCAGGUCAAAAUCUAUCUGCCCUGAAAUUUUCAGAUGAAUUGGACAACCCGUUGUUGGGUUGCUGUCCCUAAAUUGGUAAUUUUAAGGAAAUUUUACUGUUUUUGGGUUAUUAUCUUGAAUAUUAUUAUAGAUAGAGAUAAACUUUAAGCAGCAAUAAUGUACAGCAAAGUAAGAUUUACAAAUAAGUCAAUAUGACUGAAAUGGUCAAUUGACCCCCUAAGGAGUUAUUGUCCUUUAUAGUCAAUUUUUAACAAUUUUUAUAAAAUUUGUAAAUUUUUACUAACAUUUUCCACUGAAACUACUGGGCCAAGUUCAUUAUAGAUAGAGAUAACUGUAAGCAGCAAGAAUGUUCAGUAAAGUAAAACGUUCAAACACAUCACCAUCACCAAAACACAAUUUUGUCAUGAAUCCAUCUGCUUCCUUUGUUUAAUAUUCACAUAGACCAAGGUGAGCGACACAGGCUCUUUAGAGCCUCUAGUUCGUAAAUCUUAGUAAUCUUUUACAAAAAUCUUCUCCUCUGAAACUACUGGGCCAAAUUAAUCCAAACUUGGCCACAAUCAUCAUUGGGGUAUCUAGUUUAAAAAAUGUGUCCGGUGACCCGGUCAACCAACCAAGAUAGCUGCCAUGGCUAAAAAUAGAACAUAGGGGUAAAAUGCAGUUUUUGGCUUAUAACUCAAUAACCAAAGCAUUUAGAGCAAAUCUCACAUGGGUAAAAUUGUUCAUCAGGUCAAGAUGUAUUUGCCCUUAAAUUUUCAGAUAUAUCGGACAACCCGUUGUUGGGUUGCUGCCCCUGAAUUGGUAAUUUUAUGGAAAUUUUACUGUUUUGGGUUAUUAUCUUGAAUAUUAUUAUAGUUAGAGAUAAACUGUAAACAGCAAUAAUGUUUAGCAAAGUAAGAUUUACAAAUAAGUCAACAUGACCAAAAUGAUCAGUUGACCCCUUUAUGAGUAAUGCCCUUUAUAGUCAAUUUUUAACCAUUUUUCGUAAAUCUUAGUAAUCUUUUACAAAAAAUCUUCUCCUCUGAAACUACUGGGUUAAAUAAUCCAAACUUGGCCACAAUCAUUUUUGGGAUAUUUAGUUUAAAAAAAUGUGUCCGGUGACCCGGCCAUCCAACCAAGAUGGCCGCCACGGCUAAAAAUAGAACAUAGGGGUAAAAUGCAGUUUUUGGCUUAUAACUCAAAAACCAAAGCAUUUAGAGCAAAUCUGACUGGGGUAAAAUUGUUUAUCAGGUCAAGAUCUAUCUGCCCUUAAAUUUUCAGAUGAAUCGGACAACCCGUUGUUUAGUUGCUGCCCCUAAAUUGGUAAGUUUAAGGAAAUUUUGCUGUUUUUGGUUAUUAUCUUGAAUACUAUUAUAGAUAGAGAUAACCUGUAAACAGCAAUAAUGUUCAGAAAAGUGAGAUUUACAAAUAAGUCAACAUGACUGAAAUGGUCAAUUGACCCCCUAAGGAGUUAUUGUCCUUUAUAGUCAAUUUUUAACAAUUUUCAUAAAAUUUGUAAAUGUUUACUAACAUUUUCCACUGAAACUACUGGGCCAAGUUCAUUAUAGAUAGAGAUAAUUGUAAGCAGCAAGAAUGUUCAGUAAAGUAAGAUGUACAAACACAUCACCAUCACCAAAACACAAUUUUGUCAUGAAUCUAUCUGCUUCUUUUGUUUAAUAUUCAUAUAUACCAAGGUGAGCGAGACAGGCUCUUUAGAGCCUCUAGUUAACCAGGAUGGUUAAAAUGAAUUAAAGAUGUAAUUAGACACAUAGAUAAGACGGAGCUUUAAAGCAGGGUUAGUGUUGCUGAAGGUUUAGUAGUCUGUGUUUUGUUGACUGUAGUACUACGUUUCGUCUUUCUCUUUCAUUUUUGGACACGUUGUGUGUGUUUCUGCAUUUUCAUAAAUUGUAAUUGCGACUUGGUAUCACCCUGUUCUUCAUAUUAUCUUUCAGAGGGAUGGUCACUAUAGUCAUCUGGAUAAUAUCAUUAUUUAUAUCUGUUUAAAUGUGCCAGGUUUGAUGCGACCAGUAGUACGUUUCAUUCAGUUGAGAGACGAGCAAUUUUUUUAUAUAUAUUCUUUAUUUUGAGAAUUAUACUUGUAAAUCAGUAAAGAUGAAUUCAAACAUCAAAAAAUUUAAAAAUAAUGAAAUAAUCAUAUUUCUUUGAUGAAACAAAUGACAAAUGACUUAUUACACUGCCACAUUCCUAACUUGGUACAGGUCUUUUACAAUGUUUCACAAGUUGAAUAUCUAGUAACUUAUGAUAAUUCAAUAUCUUUGGUAAGGAAGCACGUAAUAAAAUCAACUUUCAAACCAAACUACAUUGUUUACUAUCAAAGGUUAGUAUCUUGCUACACUAUUUCGUGACUUCAUCCCGAGCAUUGAACCUAUAACAAACUAACAGCAGUUGCAGUGAAAACAGAUACAAAUUGAAAGUAUGUUUAUGACACGACUUGAACAUAAAUGUUCUCUGAAUAAGAUGACCGGUCAUUCUUCGAUAUGGGCAAUUUAACCUAUAGAAAUAUUUACCAAAGGUUAUGGAAGGUCACUUUACAAUUAUCAAAUAUCUGUUUAUUUGAUUUUUUUUCUGAAUGCUUCAAAUUAACAAAAGCCAUACUUGAUUUUCUGGAAUACAAUAUGGAAGUCAAUGAUCUUGUAUGGAAUGUCGGUCAGUGACCGAUUUUAUCACUUUAAAAUAUUGAAUUAUCUAAUUGUUAAUUUUUGACUAAAUGGUUUGGUGCAGUAGCAAAGUCCUUUGGUUAAGAUUACAAUUAGUAAUAUCUACUUAUCAUUGUUUAUGUGUAAUAUCUAUUUGUAUCAACCACAAGUUGGUGUAAUAGUAAGAUUAACGUGUCUUCUGGUGCAAGCGGGUGCAAGUGUCUAAAAUUGGAUAUGGAAAUUCUUAAAUAUCUAUUCUUUGUUUCUAUUUUACGUAUGUAUUACAUAUUGGUGCAAAGUACAGCCUACCUUACACUCAUAUAUUCAUUUCCUAAAUCAAGAUAACAUUUUCAGGUUAAUUAGUUUUCAACAAUUACCAUGUAAUGGUGCACAAUACGCCGGACAAUGACUUACGGGUCGCCUAGUGCUGCAUGUACGCAUGUCUAUUUAUCACUAGACCAUAUCCGGAAAUUCAUUUCAUUCAGACGACUCAAAGCACGUGAGAAGGACUAGAAAACGUGAUAGAACGCGGUAAGUUCAAAGAUUGUUUGAAAAACUUUUUUUCAUAAAGAUAUUUUCUAAUUUUAAAGUAGAAUGUAGACAUUUUCUCCAUCUAAUUGCAUAAAGUUUAGCGUAUAGAAGAAUGACUUGCAAAAUGAUUCCGUACAUAAUUCAUUUGUUCUGGAUUUGUUAACGUAGACAAUUUUCCAGUCUGGUGGCCAAUUAGCGUGGGUAAUUAGACAACAAAAGCCUGAACCAACCUGACAGAAAUACAUCGAUGAAGGAAGCGUUAAAUAAAGUAUUAAAUUAUCCUUGUGUGUUUAAUUUUGUUAUAAAUGUUCUUGUCUUUUAUUUUGGUGACCUAUUCUUUUAAAUUUUAACAAUGUAUACUAAAAAGCAGGACGUAUCGUAGGAGCAUUUCAAAUUUGUAUAAAUUUUGAAAUACUGUCAUUUUUUCUUACAUUUGAAUAUAAAUUCUAUAUGUUCCUUUCUAAAACAAACAAAUAUUUCGUCAUUCAUCGUUCUACCUUUUGAUCAUCAAUUUUGUUACAUGAAAGUUCUUGGUACAUUCGUCUCUGUGGUGGUAUUUUGAAAUACAAUUCAUGCAGAAAGUACAUGUACCUAGUCAAGGCGGAUGUACAUAGUGUUUUUGUUAAUGAAAUAUUUGACUUUUAAUGAAGAACUUUGAACCGGACACAAGGAACAAUCAAUUCAUAAAGUAUUUUGGGGAUAUUUUUGACAGGUGAACAACGAUUCAUUUAACAAGACUUUCCGUGUGAAGCUAAAUAUAUCAAUGAUGAAAUUGUUCAUGUGACUUGGGAUCUAUUAGCAGCUCUUUCUUGAACUCAUAGUAUAUAUUCUCUUAAAUUAUCAUAUUAAUGAUGGGUCAUGUAUGGGAAGGCAACAAAAAAGUAAUUGGAAAAUAAUGUGAAUCCUUUAAAAAAUUAUACUUAGCUUAAAUCAUACAUCGACUUUCUUGGUACGUAAGUAAAAUAUACAUGAUAUAGGACCGUUUUUACACUUUAAGAAGCUGGAUAAAUAAACAGAGAGAUCACAGUGAAUGUAUGAAUACGUUGAUGUGGGCUUUUUCAAAUUUAAUCGGCAUCUUGAGAAUUUUAUCUUACAUCUUUUGUCCCAAAGAAAUUGACAGCAUGUUGGAUUUUAUAAUGUGAUCUGAUCUUUUUCUAUUUCAUUAAUGCUUUUCUUAAAAUCUUUUAUAAUUAUUUAAUUGGAGAUUUUUACCUUUCAUCUUUUCUUUUCAUGAUUCUUGACACUGACAUGUACACAUAUAUUGCUUGCUACAUUGACCCCAUCAAAUCGCAAGUUAAUUAUAGAUUUGCAUACACCACCUGCACGUACUGGUCAAGUCAGGACGUUGUCCUUAACCUUGUCUGGCUUUAACAAUAACUCCGUCCGAUAGGUUCAUUGCUCGAUGUAUUGUGUGUACACAUCAUCAUAGCUAUCUUUCUGAUAACUAGAGACUGGAAGAGUACCGAGACAACGGUGUCAUAGGAAAAAAAACUCAAGACAUGAUAGACAAAUACCAAAAUGUAUAUUAAAAUUAUAAAGGCAAGUACGAAACUAACGCCAAAAAAUAAAUACUGAAAAGGACAACAGGUUGGUGAGAGUGGCAGUUACAGGUAUGACUAAUUAUCCAUGUAAUUAUUUCAAUCAUAUGCAGGUGGUAGUAAAAGUAAUUUUAUAUGUCAAAUUUUAAUAAAAGAUGAGUAAACUGUUGUUUGUUUGAUAUAUUUCCCAUAAAAUCAAACCGUUAUUUAGCGCUAAAUACUGAAGAUGUAAACAUUUAUUUAAUGCAAUAUUGGCCAUUUUACAUAUUAUUGUAAAAUUUUGAAUCGAAGGACAUCACUACUUAAAAAGAUUUUUAAAAAAAAUCAUCGAUGAACUGAAAGAAGUGUUUUGGCUAACAAAGUCUUUCUAGUUCAAUUUUGGAUGAAUGUACUAUAAACUAUGCAGUUUUGAAUCAUCUUAAGGUAUCCCAAUUUGGUUACUUGUUCAGAAAUACAACAAAAUAAAAUUGAGAGGGAAUUCAAUGUUCAUGAUGCUGAACAAAGUAAAUGCACACAAAGAAACCGUUGAUAUUUUUAAUUUAAGUAAAGAUUGAAAGACCUUAAUAAACACAAAGGUUCCUGGUUCGAUCCCCGCUCCAAGGAGAAAAUUUCAGGGACUGAAUUUUCGGCUCUCCCUCGACACCAUUUGUGAGUAUGGUCUUGAGGAAACGAUGAUAGUCCGUCGGAAGGGGACGAUAAAAGGCUGACCCGUGUUAAGAGAGAGCCAUAUCUCUUGCACGUUAAAGACACCCUUGUAGAUUUCGAAAAAGAGCAGGCUAAUGCCGCUACAAGACUGUUCGCACCCGCAAAGUGGAAAGGGAUUAAUAUAAGUUGCAAUAACUUGUUUCACAAUCCACUAUAAAUAAAUAUGUUUAAACUAAAGACUUUUGCAAAUGGCCCUAGUGUUUACUACGGUUGUUCAGUAUAGUAAGACGGAAUGCAAUGGGCGUCAAAGUUAAAAUUUGUUUUUCUUGAGUCAAAACGAAAUAAAAUUUGCGAAUUAUGUUACCACGUGGUUAGCAGAUCAUAUAUUGAAGAUAAUUGUUAUACCACAUAUGAACAUGGUAAAAAAAAGGCAAUAGUUAAUAAAAGAUAUUGAUUUUUUGUGCUCUUCAAAAGAACAUUUUAUUGAGGUUUUAUACUCACAAAUUAUCCUUAUAAAUUGCAAUUCAAUCAUGACAUAUUGUGUCCCAUGGUAGCUUAUUGCAAAUUCCUUCCUUUGAACUUUAAUGUGUAUUUUUAUAGCCAAAUCAAGGCUUUGGAUAAAAGCUAGCACGCAUUGGUCAUUUCAACUUAUGAGAUGGGCUUUGACCAUCAAUCGCCGAGGCCGGACGAUGUCAUCCAACCAGUAGCCACUCAAGGAAAUUUUUCCGUUUUGUUUCUAACUUUUUCAGUUUAAGGCUACCAACAUUUGGUCUAGACUACCUGAUUAGGAUUAUUCUAUUAACACGUGUUGUCUGCAUAGAAAAAACUAAUCGGACAUUUUUAUUUUAAUAAACAUUGUCAAAUAGAUGCGGAAAUAAAAUAUUUUAUCUUUGUGGUUGGGACGAAUAAAUUUGAUAUGUUUUUCUUUAUUCUUGUAAAUAUUUGAACUUGAAUUAUUUGAGAAAACAUUACAAACUACAGAAAUGUCCGGCCGAAUUAAUAUAUAUAUAUUGUUCAAGUCAAGUUCGGUCAGCUAAUUUGCGUCAAUAAAUUGAAAAACUACUAACGCAAAGGAAAUGCUCUUAUCUUUCAUCGUCAUUACCACAGGAAAAUACGCAAACAGUUCUGUAUCCUUUGUUGUCUACAAUAUAAAUAAUAUAACGCAAAUUUUCAAAAAAGCGCAUGUUUUUACGAAAUGUUGCCCGGAUGCUAGAGAUAAAGGAAAGAACAAUCGAAAGUGCUUCACACAAGUGUUGUUUAUGUCUUGUUUUGAGGGUCUGGUGUGGUAUAGAGACUAUAUGAUAAAUAGGCCAAAAUUAUGGAAAAGGAAAUAACAAAUUAACGUAUAAACAGAAAAAUAGGUCAUAAAAUAGAGAAUGAAGAAUAAUUGGGUUCUGAAAUAUAAUGAAUAGAGACAAAUGGAAAAAGUAAAAAGAAAACAGAAUUGAAUGUCUCCACCCUCCUUUCAACAAGUCCUUCUUAUAGGUGGUAUAUGUUGUAUGUUAUACUUCCUGUAUUUAUUCUAUCGGUUUAUCAUGUUUGUUACUAUAAUUUACAUAAAAUCCUAAAAGUCAUGACUAACUGAAUUGCAUCGAUUUUCAACGGUCGUCAGGCAAAUAAAUGUAAAAAAUAAUAUUAAAGUUGUUUUUACGGCUAAGUGGUCAACGAUUGUUCAAAAUAAUUCUGAAAUGGGAGCGACAUAUACGUCUAACCGCACCCAACAGUUAAGUUUUACAAAAUAAAUUUCACUUUCAAAGCAAGUUUGAGUAUAUAGAUUACUGCAUGAAUAUCAGAAUUGAGUGUUACUGUGCCGUAAAUUUAUGCAUGACUAUGAGUAUUGAGUGUAACAGUACCAUAUGUACAAAUUCAAUCUGUGUUGGUUCUAGCUUGAUCUAGUACAGAUAUGCUUUGAUUGUUUUUAUGGUUAAUUUUAUUUGUAUGUUUAGGCUAGGUCUUUAUGGAUCCAAUACAUGAUUGUUUGUGCAAGUAUGUUCCUCCCUAUUAAUGCGCGUACAAAAUUAUAUGCAGACAUGGCACUUUCCCAUGUAUCCGAAAACAAUGUUACCGUGAACUUUUAUGGCAGAUGGGUGAUCUUUGCAGGUGUAUACCAGAAUAGUCCGCUUGUUUUUAUGUAUGUCGUCUGUGAAUUGACACUUGUUGACAAAAUAAAAGUUCAAAAAUGGUUUAAUGUUUUUGCAAUGUAUCAGGUCCGAAAUGGUAAAUACAACCCUAAAGGGUUGAAAUAACGUUGCCAUCUGUACUAUCGGUGACAUGUUCGACAUCAGCGCUUGGUGAUACAAGGUGCUGUGUUUGAGAUACGUCUUGCUGUUGGUCGGAGUUGAUUUCUAUAUGGUCAUAAAAAGCAGGUAAUUAUAUUGCUAAGACAACAAAGCAACACAUGAUGUGUACACUCUAUUAGUAAUGUGUUAGUUUUGCUUUCUAUUGUACGCAUGAAUUAAUGAAAGUGUUCCUUAAAAAGAGUAUAAAGACUACAUUUUAAUAUAAAAUAUAAUUGUGUCCGUGAAAUGUUUGAUGUUAUAACUACAUGGAUUUAGCUCAACAAUCCAUACUUGUAAGUCAUCGAGAUAAUGUUUUACUUGUGCAGUUAAUAAAAAAAACAUUUAAAUCUUCUACCCAAUGGAAGUUUCGCUAAACAAUUUUGAUUCAUAUCAGCAUGCAUAGAAAAUUAAAGACGAAUAUAUAACAUGAUACUCGCGUAUAAAAAUCAUAAUUCGACGGGGGAGAAGAGACAUAUUUUCAUGACUAAUAGAAACCACAUGAAAGACAACCAGUUUUAAACAAUAUCUCCAUCAAAAACAGUGCUGGUCUCGGGUACUCUUGAACGGCAUAGAGUUCCUUACUUACUUAACUGUUUUGUAUAACAUAUGGUAUAAAACUUCAGUACUUCUUUAAUAAUGAACAAUUGUAUGUAUAUUUCUUACUUUAUUGUCCUUUAUAAAGUAAUAUGAUGUAUUAUAUAGUAAAUACCAUUAAUAUGGACUAGUUUGCUUUACAUUUGCACGUAAAUAACCUUCAUAGAAACUCGAUAAUGGUGUACCCUUGUUUCCUAUGGUCCCGCAUGUUUUUUAUGGACGUGCAUUCCAACUUAUAUAAAAGAUGCACACCUUAUUUCAUUAAGAAUAAUGGGACAUUGCAUGUCUCUGUACUUGUCAUCAAGUUAAUCACAAUCGAUUCAUUUUAAAAAUGUUGAACUUUCCUAGGUACAAAUAGAUUUCAAUAUUAUAUUUACCCAAUCCUAACAUGUGUUCAAACGUUUCCCUGCUGGAUGUUCCCUCACUCCUAGAAAAUUUACAUUUUGAUAGUUAACCGCAUUUAUAUUAUUAAAACAUUAUGUUUAAAUAUGUUCCAUUGGUUUUGAGUCCAAUCUUUGUGAUUCAAUCCAUACGUUUUUGAGUCAUUAGGUGCACGAUACCCGUCUCCAAGUGCAAUGCGGUGCAUUUUGACUCAUUUUAAUCAUUAAUUAGCUUUCAUCUUCGCCUUAAUUGUAGAUUUAUUGUCAUUGUUCGUCUCAACUUUAAAUCGCUCUGCACUCUUACCUCAGGGAAGCUUAAAACUUGAAAGUAAAUAUUACCUUUUAACGAAGUAUAGGUGUAUCAAAAUCUUAUUAAUUAGUUGUUGAUCAUACUUAACAUAUUUUCUCCUUUCAAAGUUAAUCUUUUCACCUGUAAUGGACAAAGGUUUGACUUCAGGCACUCCCACGCAAAUGCUCCUUUUUUUUUUUUUGAACACUACGAAAUAUGCAUGUUACAUUUUUUAUAUUAACAAUACAC